rnacentral:lncRNA from 1 species
UGGAAGACAGAUGCUCCAGCCAUCACCCCUCCUCCCAUCGGAUUUCUCCCCAGGGCUCUGCAAUAACCAAAAUCAAAGUUUCCCAACUUUCCUUUAGCAAGUCACAGCAGAAGUUUGGC